rnacentral:rRNA from 1 species
CGCAGCGGGGGGCGGGAGGCGGUCGCAAGGGUGGGGCUGUGCGCCCAUUAAAGCGGCACGCGAGCKGGGUUCAGAACGUCGUGAGACAGUUCGGUCCCUAUCCGUCGCGGGCGUAGGAAAUUUGAGAGGAUCUGCUCCUAGUACGAGAGGACCAGAGUGGACUUACCGCUGGUGUACCAGUUGUCUUGCCAAAGGCAUCGCUGGGUAGCUAUGUAGGGAAGGGAUAAGCGCUGAAAGCAUCUAAGUGCGAAGCCCACCUCAAGAUGAGAUUUCCCAUGAUUUUAUAUCAGUAAGAGCCCUGAGAGAUGAUCAGGUAGAUAGGUUAGGAGUGUAAUUGUGGUGACACAUUUAGCGGACUAAUACUAAUAGCUCGAGGACUUAUCCAAAA